rnacentral:rRNA from 1 species
ACGCUCGACACCUACGGGAGGCAGCAGUGGGGAAUAUUGCACAAGUGGGGGAAACCCUGAUGCAGCGACGCCGCGUGGAGGAAGAAGGUCUUCGGAUUGUAAACUCCUGUUGUUAGGGGAAAAAGAGGAUGGUACCCAACAAGGAAGUGACGGCUAACUACGUGCCAACAGCCGCGGUAAUCUGAGCGGGCUGGCAAGGC